GGGCUCUUGGCGCAGGGGCUAGCGCGUGCGCUUUGCACCGGCUGGAUGUGCGCAAGGUCGUGGGUUCAAUUCCCACAGUGUCCA